rnacentral:rRNA from 1 species
AACGAACGCUGGCGGCAUGCCUAACACAUGCAAGUCGAACGGAGGUAGGGGCAACUCUACUUCAGUGGCGGACGGGUGAGGAAUGCGUCGGAAUCUACCCUAUGGUGGGGGAUAACACAGGGAAACUUGUGCUAAUACCGCAUAAUGUCGAGAGACCAAAGCAGGGGACCGCAAGGCCUUGCGCGAUAGGAUGAGCCGACGCCCGAUUAGCUAGUUGGUAGGGUAAAGGCCUACCAAGGCGACGAUCGGUAGCUGGUCUGAGAGGAUGAUCAGCCACACUGGGACCUGAGACACGGCCCAGACUCCUACGGGAGGCAGCAGUGGGGAAUAUUGGACAAUGGGCGCAAGCCUGAUCCAGCAAUGCCGCGUGUGUGAAGAAGGCCUGCGGGUUGUAAAGCACUUUUGUUCGGGAAGAAAUCAUGCUGGUUAAUACCUGGUAUGGAUGACGGUACCGAAGAAUAAGCACCGGCUAACUUCGUGCCAGCA